rnacentral:rRNA from 1 species
CGCGCAGGCGGCUCUGAAAGUCAGAUGUGAAAGCCCCGGGCUUAACCUGGGAAUUGCAUUUGAUACUCUGGAGCUUGAGUACGGGAGAGGAUAGUGGAAUUCCCGAGUGUAGAGGUAGAAAUUCGUAGAUAUUGGGAAGAACACCAGUGGCGAAGGCGGCUAUCUGGACCGUAACUGACGCUGAGGCGCGAAAGCGUGGGAGCAAACAGGAUUAGAUACCCUGGUAGUCCACGCCGUAACGAUGUGCGCUAGACGUUGGGAAGCUUAGCUUCUCGGUGUCGCAGCUAACGCGAUAAGCGCACCGCCUGGGGAGUACGGCCGACAAGGUUAAA